rnacentral:lncRNA from 1 species
UGUUUUUUCUCUCAUCUGAUUCAUAAAACUUUAUAUCAUUUCAUUUUUCCUAGGGAUGAGCACACCAGUUGGCACAAGAUCUCAAUUUGGUUAAGUCAAGUCAAAAAUUCACAAAUGUCUACUUCACAUCCAGACCUUCUUUGACUAUAUCCAGGAUAGGGAAAUCAGGUGAUUCCACAUGUAAGACAAGUUCUUUUGCCAUCAUUACUCAUCUACUGCCUUCUCACUUUCUGUGAGAUGGAAGGUUGAUCUGGUUGUGCGGAAGUGAGAAAUAUGCCAUCUGCUCAAUUUUCUUUUCCAAGAAAAGGUUAUUGUAAGCUGACAUCCAAAGUAAAGCAAAGCAGAACAAAACAAAACAAAGGAAAACAAAAAGAGAUGAGAGAAAGAAAAAAAUAAAAAGAAACUCAAGACAAUAAUUCAGGUGCUACUUUUGGUCCCCACAUCUCAGUUAUCUUCAGUCUGCGAGGAAAAAAAAAGAUCUUAUUUUCUUCCUCCUUUCAAUCAUAUUCCUUUUUCUGCUUUUUCUUUCCUCUGUGAACCCCAUUCCACUUCCUGGAUCAUGGCAGUAAUAAAAUUAAACCUUUACCAAAGGUAAAUAAAGCU